CGGGACACGUGGUAUCCUGUCUGAAUAUGGGGGGACCAUCCUCCAAGGCUAAAUACUCCUGACUGACCGAUAGUGAACCAGUACCGUGAGGGAAAGGCGAAAAGAACCCCGGCGAGGGGAGUGAAAAAGAACCUGAAACCGUGUACGUACAAGCAGUGGGAGCCUCUUAAUGGGGUGACUGCGUACCUUUUGUAUAAUGGGUCAGCGACUUAUAUUCUGUAGCAAGGUUAACCGAAUAGGGGAGCCGAAGGGAAACCGAGUCUUAACUGGGCGUUAAGUUGCAGGGUAUAGACCCGAAACCCGGUGAUCUAGCCAUGGGCAGGUUGAAGGUUGGGUAACACUAACUGGAGGACCGAACCGACUAAUGUUGAAAAAUUAGCGGAUGACUUGUGGCUGGGGGUGAAAGGCCAAUCAAACCGGGAGAUAGCUGGUUCUCCCCGAAAGCUAUUUAGGUAGCGCCUCGUGAAUUCAUCUCCGGGGGUAGAGCACUGUUUCGGCAAGGGGGUCAUCCCGACUUACCAACCCGAUGCAAACUGCGAAUACCGGAGAAUGUUAUCACGGGAGACACACGGCGGGUGCUAACGUCCGUCGUGAAGAGGGAAACAACCCAGACCGCCAGCUAAGGUCCCAAAGUCAUGGUUAAGUGGGAAACGAUGUGGGAAGGCCCAGACAGCCAGGAUGUUGGCUUAGAAGCAGCCAUCAUUUAAAGAAAGCGUAAUAGCUCACUGGUCGAGUCGGCCUGCGCGGAAGAUGUAACGGGGCUAAACCAUGCACCGAAGCUGCGGCAGCGACACUAUGUGUUGUUGGGUAGGGGAGCGUUCUGUAAGCCUGUGAAGGUGGCCUGUGAGGGUUGCUGGAGGUAUCAGAAGUGCGAAUGCUGACAUAAGUAACGAUAAAGCGGGUGAAAAGCCCGCUCGCCGGAAGACCAAGGGUUCCUGUCCAACGUUAAUCGGGGCAGGGUGAGUCGACCCCUAAGGCGAGGCCGAAAGGCGUAGUCGAUGGGAAACAGGUUAAUAUUCCUGUACUUGGUGUUACUGCGAAGGGGGGACGGAGAAGGCUAUGUUGGCCGGGCGACGGUUGUCCCGGUUUAAGCGUGUAGGCUGGUUUUCCAGGCAAAUCCGGAAAAUCAAGGCUGAGGCGUGAUGACGAGGCACUACGGUGCUGAAGCGACAAAUGCCCUGCUUCCAGGAAAAGCCUCUAAGCAUCAGGUAACAUUAAAUCGUACCCCAAACCGACACAGGUGGUCAGGUAGAGAAUACCAAGGCGCUUGAGAGAACUCGGGUGAAGGAACUAGGCAAAAUGGUGCCGUAACUUCGGGAGAAGGCACGCUGAUAUGUAGGUGAAGCGACUUGCUCGUGGAGCUGAAAUCAGUCGAAGAUACCAGCUGGCUGCAACUGUUUAUUAAAAACACAGCACUGUGCAAACACGAAAGUGGACGUAUACGGUGUGACGCCUGCCCGGUGCCGGAAGGUUAAUUGAUGGGGUUAGCGGCAACGCGAAGCUCUUGAUCGAAGCCCCGGUAAACGGCGGCCGUAACUAUAACGGUCCUAAGGUAGCGAAAUUCCUUGUCGGGUAAGUUCCGACCUGCACGAAUGGCGUAAUGAUGGCCAGGCUGUCUCCACCCGAGACUCAGUGAAAUUGAACUCGCUGUGAAGAUGCAGUGUACCCGCGGCAAGACGGAAAGACCCCGUGAACCUUUACUAUAGCUUGACACUGAACAUUGAGCCUUGAUGUGUAGGAUAGGUGGGAGGCUUUGAAGUGUGGACGCCAGUCUGCAUGGAGCCGACCUUGAAAUACCACCCUUUAAUGUUUGAUGUUCUAACGUGGGCCCGUAAUCCGGGUUGCGGACAGUGUCUGGUGGGUAGUUUGACUGGGGCGGUCUCCUCCUAAAGAGUAACGGAGGAGCACGAAGGUUGGCUAAUCCUGGUCGGACAUCAGGAGGUUAGUGCAAUGGCAUAAGCCAGCUUGACUGCGAGCGUGACGGCGCGAGCAGGUGCGAAAGCAGGUCAUAGUGAUCCGGUGGUUCUGAAUGGAAGGGCCAUCGCUCAACGGAUAAAAGGUACUCCGGGGAUAACAGGCUGAUACCGCCCAAGAGUUCAUAUCGACGGCGGUGUUUGGCACCUCGAUGUCGGCUCAUCACAUCCUGGGGCUGAAGUAGGUCCCAAGGGUAUGGCUGUUCGCCAUUUAAAGUGGUACGCGAGCUGGGUUUAGAACGUCGUGAGACAGUUCGGUCCCUAUCUGCCGUGGGCGCUGGAGAACUGAGGGGGGCUGCUCCUAGUACGAGAGGACCGGAGUGGACGCAUCACUGGUGUUCGGGUUGUCAUGCCAAUGGCACUGCCCGGUAGCUAAAUGCGGAAGAGAUAAGUGCUGAAAGCAUCUAAGCACGAAACUUGCCCCGAGAUGAGUUCUCCCUGACCCUUUAAGGGUCCUGAAGGAACGUUGAAGACGACGACGUUGAUAGGCCGGGUGUGUAAGCGCAGCGAUGCGUUGAGCUAACCGGUACUAAUGAACCGUGAGGCUUAACCUU
rnacentral:rRNA from 1 species